rnacentral:lncRNA from 1 species
CCCCGCCCAGCGAUCCACAACGUUCGGCCUCCCAGCCGCUCCCGCAGUCGGGCUGGGGCUCCACGCAGGGACCCCUGCCCUGUCCUCCUCUGGGCCCACCUGGGCGUUCCCCAUCCCAGGCAAACGGAGAAAUAAGGUCGCGAGGCAGGCUCCAUAUCCUGAGCACCGGGACCCCCAGGAUCCUCUGUGGAUGCCCCCAGGCCCUGGGGCCUGAGGACCGUGACACCCUGUCCCUGGCUCACCUGAGUUUCUCAGGCCCCAGGAUGCCAUAGAGGCCUGCCUGGCUCUGUCUCUGCAGAGACUUGCUCCUCCAGAUCUGUGGCUACAGUGCCUCUCACCUGCUCUGCGCCUGG